rnacentral:rRNA from 1 species
UACGUAGGGUCCGAGCGUUGUCCGGAAUUACUGGGCGUAAAGAGCUCGUAGGUGGUUUGUCGCGUUGUUCGUGAAAAACUCACAGCUUAACCUGUGGGCGUGCGGGCGAUACGGGCAGACUUGAGUACUGCAGGGGAGACUGGAAUUCCUGGUGUAGCGGUGGAAUGCGCAGAUAUCAGGAGGAACACCGGUGGCGAAGGCGGGUCUCUGGGCAGCAACUGACGCUGGAGGAGCGGAAAGCGUGGGGAGCGAACAGG